rnacentral:rRNA from 1 species
CAAACCAAAGCUGGCGACCGGCGCACGGGUGAGUAACACGUAUCCAACCUGCCUCAUACUCGGGGAUAGCCUUUCGAAAGAAAGAUUAAUAUCCGAUAGCAUAUAUUUCCCGCAUGGGUUUUAUAUUAAAGAAAUUCGGUAUGAGAUGGGGAUGCGUUCCAUUAGUUUGUUGGGGGGGUAACGGCCCACCAAGACUACGAUGGAUAGGGGUCCUGAGAGGAAGGUCCCCCACAUUGGAACUGAGACACGGUCCAA